UCUUUUCGGUUGAAGCAGUCUCUCCCGCGCUUUCCCCAUUUUCUCUCAGCCAAAUUAAACCCCUUUUUUCAAGCUCCCCAAAAUCUUUCGACUGAAGCAAGAAAUCUCAUGAUCGAGACUAACUUUUGGCUCUCGUUCCUGUUUCGGUUUCAUCUGUAAGAAAUCUGGGUCGUGAAUUGUGAUGGUCUCUUCAGCUUUCGGUGUUUUCUUCAUCACAGUCGGUGUGUUUGUAAAGAGAAAAAGGAACGUAGAGUGGAAAUCCCUUGAUGCAGUUGACUUGGGGGUAAAGCUUUUGAGCUUACAAUUUGAUGCAGUUUCAAGGAGUUUCAGAGCAGUAACAGCUAGAAGAUCCUCGAGUUCUCCACUGAAAAUUCCCUCUAAGAAUUCUAUCCAGAAAAUUCAAAUGGGAACUAAUCAGAACUCUGUACUAAGAGGUUGCAGCAGUAAUUCUAGAGGAGCCUUGGUGGUUCUAGAAGGCUUAGACCGCUGUGGGAAGACUACACAGUCCAGUAGAUUAGUCCAAUACUUGGAAGGACUUGGGUUUUCUGCUGAACUAUGGCGGUUUCCCGAUAGAACUACAAGUGUUGGACAAAUGAUAUCUUCAUAUCUUUCAAACAAAUCGCAGUUGGAUGACCGCACAAUACAUCUUCUCUUUAGUGCCAACCGAUGGGAGAAGAGAUCGUUGAUGGAAUCAAAAUUGAAGAGUGGAACCACUCUUAUUGUUGAUCGGUAUUCUUAUUCAGGGGUGGCCUUUUCAGCUGCCAAAGGACUUGACAUUGAAUGGUGUAAGGCACCGGAGGUUGGCUUGCUAGCUUCGGACUCAGUACUGUACCUAGACAUAUCUCCAGAGAAUGCUGCAGAAAGAGGAGGUUAUGGCCGUGAGAGAUACGAGCAGCUUGAGUUCCAGAGAAAAGUUUACCAGUACUAUCAAGUUUUGCAUGAUUCCUCGUGGAAGAUUAUUGAUGCUUGCCAAACCAUGGAAGAUAUUGAGAAACAACUGCAAGAGAUUGUACUGGGCUGUGUCAAGAGAUGCCACAAUGGGGAACCGCUUUCUGAACUUUGGUUAAGUUGAUGAUUUCAGCUUUCUUUUGAAGCCUGAAAAUAUUUUUCCCGAGUGUAUUUAUAUUCAAAAUGUUGAUAACUUAGGGGCUUGUCUUGCGUGUUUUAUGUUUUUUUAACAUAUAUAUAAUUUUAAUUUGGCUUUUCCUUUUCACAAAGUUUUAGUUUUCAAGCAUUAUAGACAUUAUAAAUCAAUACGUGAAUGAAUUGUCGUUCCCAAAAGGCAGUCCGGUUGGGCAAGGGCUUGGGGUAUCUUGGUCAUACUGGUUUCGAGGUAUCAAGUUCGAAUUUUCUGGUGAGCUUAAUACCAAAAAGUCUUGAUGUCUUUCGGAUCUGUGCCUUGCGGAGAGUGCAGGUGUCAUUGGGUAUAGAAGAGCAAAGCUUCGACUUUCGGUUAUAAAAAAAAAAAGAAAAAGAAAAACGUCAAUGAAUUGUCAGAAGAAAAGUCUCUAUCAUUACACUUCUAGUCUUUUCCUAUCUAACUUCCCCCACCCCUCAUCGGGCUCUACACCAUUUGAGAAUACUGAAAAACUUACCACUUUUUAAAUUAUGAAUUAGAGCAAGACUAAUUCAUUCUCUGAGAGGUUAAGAAUUUCUAGAUAUCAAAAUAGUAGUGGUAUCUAGUCCAUGUGUAGAAGUUUUAUGUUUCAUAGACAGCCAUCCAGCAUCCAUAUAAGGUAAUCAUCAAAGAUACUUGUUUAAAGUUAAAAAUUACAGAAAACUUUUAAGAUAGUAAAAACCUGUUAUGGUCAACACAGUUGAUAGCUGCUAGUUAUGGAAUCAUGGAGACUAAAAUGGAGGUGCGAAGGGUAUUUCAGGUCGAAGCGGCACCAAUGGGUCAUUCAAACCAGUAUCUGGUGCUGGUGSUGCAGACACAAAGGGAAAUGGUUCCUGUGAAAUAUCUGGAACGUCAGGAACUAGGGGAGGAAGGACGGCAUCAAUGCUUUGGAGGAAAAGAGUGACAGCACUCUGGCACAUGUACGUUGAUAACACUGCAACGCAGCUAAUUCGUGACCCAAAACAGGUCUGCAUCAAAAAAUAAUCUUACUUUCUAGAAGGGGCAACAAGUGAACUCUCGUAGCCCCCCCUAUGAUAGGAAAGAUAAGUUCCAUUGGGACUGAUGGUUGAAAUUUGCAGUUUGAUACAAUUUUGACAAACAACAUAUUCGGUGAUAUUUUGUCGAGUAUUGGGAUGCUUCCAUCUGCAAGUCUUCGUGAAUUGGUAGUCAAAUUAUUCUCUCA